GAGUGACAUGUCACUUUCGUGAAGCUACUUGGCAGAGCAUCAGUCAGAUGCUCAUAUCGCGGUCAGACCGUCCUCAUAUCUCUUCAGAAAUCAGAUGUCACAGGCCCGCCGGUCUGGAAUGGGUCGGUAGCUCAGGUGGUUAGAGCGCACGCCUGAUAAGCGUGAGGUCGGAGGUUCAAGUCCUCCUCGACCCACCAUCACGGGUUUGAGGGUUUGACUUGAGGGGCCUUAGCUCAGUUGGUAGAGCGCCUGCUUUGCAAGCAGGAUGUCAUCGGUUCGAAUCCGAUAGGCUCCACCAUCCUUUACCGACAUGAUCGGAAAGCCUUUGGCUUUCCCGUCCUGUCGGACGCGGUUCCUCGGAACCAUUUAACAUCGUUCAGAGAGAUAAUCAGCGUUAUUGGCCGUGCCCGAGUGGGGGUGCGGUGGUCGCAAGACCAACAAUGACGUUGUCCAAGUCAAGUACACUAACCAAAUGUUCAGUUUCUGCAUGGAAGCUGGACAGAAAGUCUCUUCCGUAUGGAAGGGGCGGGAAACGUACAUGCUUUUGAUCGGAAGCGACCCCUGCGAGCUACAGAAGGGCGCAGGGCGGAGGACGCGAGUCUUUCUUCUUCCGG
rnacentral:tRNA from 1 species